rnacentral:rRNA from 1 species
UACGUAGGGUGCAAGCGUUGUCCGGCAUUAUUGGGCGUAAAGAGCUCGUAGGCGGUCUGUCGCGUCGGCUGUGAAAACCCGGAGCUCAACUCCGGGCCUGCAGUCGAUACGGGCAAACUGGAGUGUUGCAGGGGAGACUGGAAUUCCUGGUGUAGCGGUGAAAUGCGCAGAUAUCAGGAGGAACACCGGUGGCGAAGGCGGGUCUCUGGGCAACAACUGACGCUGAGGAGCGAAAGCGUGGGGAGCGAACAGG